rnacentral:rRNA from 1 species
UACGGAGGGAGCAAGCGUUACUCGGAAUUAUUGGGCGUAAAGGGCGCGUAGGCGAUCCGACAAGUCUGGUGUGAAAGCCCACAUGUUAACUGUGGAAGUGCAUUAGAAACUGUUGGAUUUGAGUUCAGGAGGGGAAGGCAGAAUUCCCGGUGUAGCGGUGAAAUGCGUAGAGAUCGGGAGGAAUACCAGUGGCGAAGGCGGCCUUCUGGACUGACACUGACGCUGAGGCGCGAAAGCCAGGGGAGCAAACGGG